rnacentral:lncRNA from 1 species
UUUGCAUAUAUAAUACUGAACAGAAUCUUACCAUUUUCUGCCUGGAUGGUCACUGGAUCAGAAGGUUCAGAGGGCUGGCUAAUGUUCACUGCGGUCUUGGCAAUUGCUCUAAACUGAUACUGAGCAUUCUCUUCUAAGCCAGUGGCUGUGUACUCUUCCUGGGGAAUCUGGUGUGGUGUAGUAUUGCACCGUACCCACUUAUCGCCAGGCAGUUUGCAAGCUUCUACAAAAUAGCCAAUAAUUUUGCUGCCUCCAUCAUGCUUUGGACGAGCCCAGAUGAGGGACACAGUACUCUUGGAAACAUCAAUAACUUCAGGCUUUCCAGGAGGAUCUAAAACCAAAAGAGGUAUUCUCAGCAUUUAUCGUAAUUGCAGAAGUUGUAAACUUCCGUAUUUCUCAUUAUCACCCAGAAAUGUUGAGAAUAUUUCUGAAUAGAAGUAGUAAUCUUCAGAGACUCCAAGGUUUAAAUAUAUUCCCAUAAUACUAACAAAAAAUUACUCACCAACUGGCAUUCUUGCAGUUACAUAUUCUGUUGGUUUGCUGGGUGGACUGGAUCCAGCUUUGUUUAGUGCAUAGAUUCUGAAUGAAUACUCAAGACCUUCUACAAGGCCAGCACAAGGAUAUUCAGUUGACCGGACAGGAGUAUCAUUAGCUUUUACCCAGAGCAAACUGUUUCUUUCUUUGCGCUCAAUCAGAUAACCAGUAAUGGGACUUCCUCCAUCACUGUCUGGUCUGUCCCAUGCCACAAAUAUGCAGUCUUUGUUGACUUUAGUGACUCGUGCAUUCUUUGGUUCACUAGGAACAUCUGGAGAUGAAGACAAGGGAAAUGUCAGUUUUUAUCUUAGGUAAGAGACUAGAAAGAAAACAAUUUUUUUCUUCCUGAAAGAAACAUACCAAAUGGGAACUUAGCCAGCAUCUUUGGAGAUGGCAGAGGCUCUGAAAUGCCAAAUCGAUUUUCUGCACGGACCCGGAAGAUAUACUCCUGGCCUGGGAUCAGUUUUCCAACUCUGCAGGAAGUUUUUGUCACCGAAGCUAGAGCUGUCACCCAAUCACCUCGGCUCACAUCACAUUUCUCCAC